rnacentral:rRNA from 1 species
UACGUAGGGGGCGAGCGUUAUCCGGAAUUACUGGGCGUAAAGCGCACGCAGGCGGUUCGCCAAGUUUGGAGUGACAGUUGUCGGCUCAACCGACAAAGGACUUCAAAAACUGGUGAACUUGAGGACGAGAGAGGAACAUGGAACUCCAGGUGUAGUAGUGAAAUGCGUAGAUAUCUGGAAGAACACUAAUGGCGAAGGCAAUGUUCUGGCUCGUUUCUGACGCUCAGGUGCGAAAGCCAGGGGAGCGAACGGG